rnacentral:rRNA from 1 species
UACGUAGGGGGCAAGCGUUAUCCGGAUUUACUGGGUGUAAAGGGAGCGUAGACGGCUGUGCAAGUCUGGAGUGAAAGGCAUGGGCUCAACCUGUGGACUGCUUUGGAAACUGUGCGGCUUGAGUGUCGGAGAGGCAAGUGGAAUUCCUAGUGUAGCGGUGGAAUGCGUAGAUAUUAGGAGGAACACCAGUGGCGAAGGCGAUUUGCUGGACUGUAACUGACACUGAGGCACGAAAGCGUGGGGAGCAAACAGG